GAGUAAGUUACCCGAUCCCUUUAAAUGUGUUUGCAUUAAAGGGGGGGGCGGGGGUGGUACUACUUCUUCAUAAGAUGUCAACUUAUAUGCAUUGCAUUAAACCUGUUGAUAUUGAUCUAACUUGUAUUCAUCUCAUGGUUAUAUGUAUUUUAUCAAUAAAAUAAAACAACACAGAGAA